AACGCACAUUGCGCCCCUUGGUAUUCCGAGGGGCAUGCCUGUUCGAGCGUCAUUACACCACUCAAGCUCGGCUUGGUAAUGGGUCUUCGCCCCCGGGCGUGCCUAAAAGUUAGUGGCGAUGCCGCCUGGCUUCAAGCGUAGUAAUCAUCUGUUUCGCUUUGGAAGUCUGGCGUGACGUUGGCCAACCAAAACCCCCAAUUCAAAGGUUGACCUCGGAUCAGGUAGGGAUACCCGCUGAACUUAA
rnacentral:misc_RNA from 1 species